ACGGGAGGCAGCAGUGGGGAAUAUUGCACAAUGGGCGCAAGCCUGAUGCAGCCAUGCCGCUUGUGUGAAGAAGGCCUUAGGGUUGUAAAGCACUUUCAGUCGUGAGGAAAGGUGUGUGCUUAAUACGUACAUACUGUGACGUUAGCGACAGAAGAAGGACCGGCUAACUCCGUGCCAGCAGCCGCGGUAAUACGGAGGGUCCGGAGCGUUAAUCGGAAUUACUGGGCGUAAAGCUCGCGUAGGUGGAUUGGUCAGUCAGAUGUGAAAGCCCAGGGCUCAACCUUGGAACUGCAUCUGAUACUGCUAGUCUAGAAUACAGUAGAGGGUAGUGGAAUUUCCUGUGUAGCGGUGAAAUGCGUAGAUAUAGGAAGGAACACCAGUGGCGAAGGCGACUACCUGGACUGAUAUUGACACUGUGGUGCGAAAGCGUGGGGAGCAAACAGGAUUAGAUACCCUGGUAGUCCACGCCGUAAACGAUGUCUACUAGCCGUUGGAAGACUUGAUCUUUUAGUGGCGAAGCUAACGCGAUAAGUAGACCGCCUGGGGAGUACGGCCGCAAGGUUAAAACUNAAANGAAUUGACGG
rnacentral:rRNA from 1 species